rnacentral:rRNA from 1 species
CCUACGGGAGGCAGCAGUGGGGAAUAUUGCACAAUGGGGGGAACCCUGAUGCAGCGACGCCGCGUGAGUGAAGAAGUAUUUCGGUAUGUAAAGCUCUAUCAGCAGGGAAGAUAAUGACGGUACCUGACUAAGAAGCCCCGGCUAACUACGUGCCAGCAGCCGCCGUAAUUCGUAGGGGGGAAGCGGUAUCCGGAUUUACUGGGUGUAAAGGGGGCGUAGGUGGCAGGGUAAGUCAGAUGUGAAAGCCCGGGGCCCAACCCCGGUACUGCAUUUGAAACUGUCCGGCUGGAGUGCAGGAGAGGUAAGCGGAAUUCCUAGUGUAGCGGUGAAAUGCGUAGAUAUUAGGAAGAACACCAGUGGCGAAGGCGGCUUACUGGACUGUAACUGACACUGAGGCACGAAAGCGUGGGGAGCAAACAGGAUUAGAUACCCUAGUAGUC